CCUACGGGUGGCAGCAGUGAGGAAUAUUGGUCAAUGGACGAGAGUCUGAACCAGCCAAGUAGCGUGAAGGAUGACUGCCCUAUGGGUUGUAAACUUCUUUUAUAUGGGAAUAAAAUGUUCCACGUGUGGGAUUUUGUAUGUACCAUAUGAAUAAGGAUCGGCUAACUCCGUUCCAGCAGCCGCGGUAAUACGGAGGAUCCGAGCGUUAUCCGGAUUUAUUGGGUUUAAAGGGAGAGUAGGUGGAUUGUUAAGUCAGUUGUGAAAGUUUGCGGCUCAACCGUAAAAUUGCAGUUGAAACUGGCAGUCUUGAGUACAGUAGAGGUGGGCGGAAUUCGUGGUGUAGCGGUGAAAUGCUUAGAUAUCACGAAGAACUCCGAUUGCGAAGGCAGUUCACUGGACUGCAACUGACACUGAGGCUCGAAAGUGUGGGUAUCAAACAGGAUUAGAUACCCGUGUAGUC
rnacentral:rRNA from 1 species